GCAUUGUUGGGGUAGUGGUAACCUGGAUCGUUGCCACCCGAAGGGCGCACCUUCGAUCCGCCCCGGGUUCGAUUCCCGGACAAUGCA